rnacentral:ncRNA from 2 species
UUCUUAUCGAGAGUGGCGGAGGGACAGGCCCUAUGAAGCCCGGCAACCGAUUCAGUAUUGCAGUCAGUAAGACUGCUGUACCCGAAUGACAUGGUGCUAAAUCCUUCAAGACCGUGAGGUUUCUUACGAUCUUGGCAGAUGAGAA